UACGUAGGGGGCAAGCGUUGUCCGGAAUCAUUGGGCGUAAAGAGCGCGUAGGCGGCCCUGUAAGUCCGCUGUGAAAGUCAAGGGCUCAACCCUUGGAUGCCGGUGGAUACUGCAGGGCUAGAGUCCGGAAGAGGCGAGUGGAAUUCCUGGUGUAGCGGUGAAAUGCGCAGAUAUCAGGAGGAACACCGAUGGCGAAGGCAGCUCGCUGGGACGGUACUGACGCUUAGGCGCGAAAGCAUGGGGAGCGAACAGG
rnacentral:rRNA from 1 species